GCCCACCGCACGAGCAGGGGCGGCAGGAAUGCGCGCCGGCAGCCCGCGUUGAGGGUGAGGGGCGAGGAACUGGCCAAGGGCUCCCGGUGUCGAAAUCAGAGUCUGAGCCCCCAGCCCACAGCAUCCUCCGGAAGCGCGGCCAGGAGCGGCUCUCCGCUUGGCUGCGUCUCCUCUCCCUCCCUCCCCAGUCCCUCUCAUCCCCUCCUAAGGAGUCCCUAGGGGAGCACCUCGGCCACACUGGUCCCCCUCUUAGCGCUGGCUCUGCCCACUGGCCCAUUUUCUUCACAAAGCGCCCUUCGUGGUCCCUCUCCCUCUCCCUGAAUGUCAACUGCAGAGAUGAGGGCCUGGAACACAGUGAGCGCUCUAUAAUGAUGUAUUGUGUAGGGAAUUCCCUGGUGGUCCAGUGUCUAGGACACAGAGCUGCCAGUGCAGAGGGCCACAGGUUCCCUCCCAGGUCAGGGAACUAGAUCUCACUUGCUGCAACUAAGACCCAGUGCAACUAAAAAAAAAAAGAUUUAUUGUGUAGAUGUCUGGCCUGGUUCCCCGAUUCUCACCUGGCCCAUUUGUUCUUAGGGCCCUGGGGCCCUAUCCCCUGCCCCUCUGUGAUGGGGUGCGGUGGGGGAUGGAAGUUCCCAGGCCUUUUCCUGUAUCCACCCCCAAGGCAAUUAGCAGGCGCCACCCCAGGCAGGCAGAUGCCUGAGCAGAUGGUGCUGGCUGUGCCCAAGUGACAAGACUCCCAUGGAGUCACCUCCUGCCAUAAACUCCUCCCUAUCUACGACGGAAGCCUGCCUGGGAGCCUCUCUUCGCUGCAGAGGUGGGAGUGGGCAGGGGUCAGCCGAGACGCAGCACAGCUCUAGUCCUGCCUGAAGGGUCUCUGUGCCCACUUUCCCUCGCCCCACCACCACUGUUAUCCCAGGUCUGGGCCAGGUUGAGAUGGAGCCUCCCUCACAGCCUGUCUCUCUCUCCUGGACCUCCUGAGCCUCCUCCGCGCUGGUCUUCCUGCCAGCCUACCUGCUGUAUUGAUUCUCCACUCCGAAACCACACAGCUCUAAUUGUGCACGCAGGUCCAAACCUUUGAUGGUUCCCCAUGGCCUCUGGGGGGGUUCGUGCUAGUGGUAAAGAAGUCACCUGCCAAUUCAGGAGACGUAAGAGAUGCAGGUUCGAUCCCAGGAUCGGGAAAAUCCCCUGGAGGAGGAAAUGACCACCCACUCUAGUAUUCUUUCCUGGGAAAUCCCAUGGACAGAGGAGCCUGGCAGGCUGCGGUCCAUAGGGUCACAGAGAGUCGGGACACAGCUGAAGCGACUUAGCACCCACGCAUGCAUGGCCUCUUUGCAGUUCAAGUCCUGGCCAGUGUCCACCUCUCUCCCAACUAGGUCCCGGCCCCAUUUUGUGCCUCUGCUGCGAUGCCUCCCAGUUCUCUAACAGCCCCAAACCGUCAAGCCCCAAAGUCUGCAUGAGCUGUGCGGGGCCCCUGGGUCCUUCAUCGGCGUCCGUACUAAGUGGCACCACCACGUGCUGAGGGUCCUGCAAGGGGGAGGGACAGCCGUGCCACCCAUUCUCCUGCCUGACCCUGCCAGGGUCCUCCGUGGCCCCACCCCAGGGGUGGGACCCCAUGCUCUGCACCCGGAGCACCUCUGCUUUCUCCCACCCAUGCUCCUGGCCUCAUGCUCCAUAGUCCUGGCUGCUGUGGUUCGGCCCACCAGGCAGCAGGAGUGACGUGCCCAUUGUACAGAAAGCAAGUGGAGGCUCAAGAAGCCUUGCUGCGUUGUGCUUGGGGAGCAGGAGGAGGAGCAACUGGACAGGGGGGCAGUGGCCAGCCUGGCAGGGCCGUGGCGUAGAGGUCGGCAGGGGCUUUUCCGCAUCUCUCUGCAGCCAGGCUUGGUGGGAGUGGGGGGACCUGGGUGUGACUGCCUGUCUGGGAACAGCAGGACAAAGCUCUGCAGCAUUCUUGUGGGGGCCAUGGGCUUUGGCAAGAGUGAUUCAAUAUCUUUGCUGUCAGGAGAAUGGAAUUUCGUGGUGACUCCUUGAGGUCUGAAAACUGGAGGGGGUGGCCGCCCUAGCUGCCCCUGCCCCCUUCCCCAGGCUGGCUCCAGCCAGAGGCUCUCCCCUCCCCUGCCCUCAACCUAGACCCAAAGGCUCCCUCCAGGGACCCAUUGGGCCAAACAGCUCUGAGGGGGUGUGGGGGGUGAUAGGAGGAGGUGCUGGGCCCAGGACAGGAAAUGGGGAGCCAGGGAGGGGGUGGGGAGGGCUGACCUGCUUGCCAGGAAGCCCCUGGGCGCCUUAGGGCCCUUGGGAAUGGGGAGGGGAAGCAGCUGUCCCAAGACCCUCCCCAGGGGGGAGGGCUUUCCAACCCCAGAGGGGCCACUUCUCAGCUUUUUGACCUUGGACCUGGGACAUUCCUCCUCUGAGCCUCGGUUUCCCCACCCGUAACACGAGGAUGACAGAUGGGCAGUGGGUCAGAACGCUGGGGGCCUGGCCCUCUUGCCCAGGGACCUAGGCCUGGUGCCUCCUGCACGGCUGACCCCUGCUCCAGCCAGCGCGGGGCUCCUGGGCAGCUGGGAGGCCGGAUGGCUCGACCCCUGUUCGUGAGGCUGGGUGGAGAGGUGGCCGAGGACAGGGGACCUGCAUGAGCAGUCUUACUCUGCCUCUCCAUCAGGCUCGGAGGAUGUGCUGUCUACCCAUCCGAGCUCAGGCCCCCUUUCCCGGCCCGGGGCUCAGCCUGGGGCCCCCUGCAAAUGGAGUCAGUCCCAGAGGGCUCUAGCCGCCCCUUCCCCGUGGACCCUGGAGCCUUGGGCUGGCCUCCCUGAGUGGCUCUUUCCUGGGAAGAUCCCGGAGACAUAAUGGGUGAGCCAUUAACUGGGAGGAAGUCAUCCAUGGCAGUCCUGCUCGCGUCCCAAGGACAACCCAGAGAGGGAGGGAGGUGCUGACCAUCGCCGUGCUCCGGGGGGCUCACGCACCCACUCUGACACCGACACGCGAGGGCAGGUCCUCAAGGGGGACCUCGAGGAGUGGCAGCGUGGGCACCCAGGUGCCAGGGUGCCCACGGGCCUCCUGAGAGCAGCGAGUGGCGUGGCCACAGUGGCCCCAGGAGGCCCCCGCCCAGAAGCUUCUGGACAGAGUCCGUGCUGGCAGGAGGCUCCAUGGCAGGAGUGUGGGGGCGCAGCCGACAGCUGCUUCCUGCUCCCACUGUUGGGGUGUCGCUGCCCCUGUGUAAAGUGGCAGUGCCUGCCGGCCGCCUGCCUCCUCGACCUGAACCCUGGGGCCUGGCAUGGUCAGGGCAGCCCAGCUGACUUGGCCUGGGUGGCUGAACAAGACCCCGAGAAGAAUGGAUGGACGGAUGGACACAUGUGGACACAGGGACGUCCAGAGGAAGGAGAGCCUGCCUUCCUCCCCAGCGCCCACCCCCACUCAGGGGGACGUGGCUCUCAGGGUAAGGAGGUCGGGCAGGGCUGCCCACUGAACACUGAGCCGGCCCUGGGGGCGGGGCCUCCGGGCAGGUGGACGCCCGCGAUGGCCCCGGGCUGUAUGGCUGCCCUGCUCUCCCCAGUGAGCUGCCCAGGGGAGGCCUGGAAGGUCCCACUCAGAACGUUGGUCUUACAGGUGGGACACAGGGUCCAGGGAGGGGAAAGGGCUGCCCUCACCCCCACAGGGAGCUCAGGCCGUCCCCAACUUGGGAGCAGGCCCAGAGCCCGCAGCUGCGCUUCUUCCUGACAGCCACGCCGGGACUGGCCGGGGCUAAUCUGAUUUGCAGCCCCCAGUGGUGGCAGAACCCCACUGCCAGUCUCCGCUGCUGACGUCCUGCAGGGGCCAGACGCCCACCAGGGAGACACCAGAGCCGCUCUGCCCCGGCCGGCCUUUGUCUUGCCAAGAAUGGCUGGCUUGUGCUGGGCAGGGGUGGGCUGUGGCUGUGCUGCUGCCUGCCGGGCUCCAGGCAUGAUCCCCUGCCCCGGUCCUGACCCUGUGCUCUGCAGUGGGACCAGACCCCAGGACGGGCGAGCAGGGGCAGGGGCCGCAUGGAGGUAGCUGGGGUCUGUCUUGGCUCCAAGCGAACCUGCCUCCUUCCCUGUGUGGUCCUGAGCUUGUCUCCGUCUCCCUGACCUCAGGGCCUCCUCCGUCGGUAACCAGAGGGUGUUAUCUUCCAUCCUGCUCUCUGGAGUCGGGACGGGUUGGGGGGAGAUGGCAUCCUUCGAUAUUCCAGGCUGCCUGGAAGAGGGGUGGUUCCGUGCCCAGGAGUGGCGGCCACACCCACAGGGGGAUGAGCCGCCACCACAGAACCCAUCUGUCCACAUGUCCGUCCGGCCGGCCGGCUGGCUGUCCAUUCACCCCCAGCAACGCCCCCGGGUCCUUGCUCUGUUCAGAUCUCUGGCUCCAGGGCAGGGAGGAGGUGACCCAGACACCGCCCCUGGGCCCGGGGAGCUCACAGUCUCACGGGGAGGAGUCUGUCGGCAUCCAGGUGUUCCCCAGACAGACGGAGGGUGGCAGGGGCUAGAAGGUCUGUCAGGUGCAAGGGUGCCAGGGGCCUGGGCAAGGGAGAAUCCACCUCGUGCCCGGGCUGGGGUACGAGGCUUCAGGGGAGGCUUCCAGGGGAAGAUGGUGACCAUCACCCCCCGAAGCUUCCCAGGUGGCACUUGGGGUAAAGAGCCUGCCUGCCGAUGCCGGCGAUAUAAGAGACGCGGGUUCGAUCCCUGGGUCGGGAAGAGCCCCUGGAGAAGGGAACGGCUGCCCACUCCAGUACUCUUGCCUGGAGAAUUCCAUGGACAGAGGAGCCUGGAGGGUUACAGUCCAUGGGGUCACAGAGAGCCGGACACGACUGAGCCACUGGGCACACACUCUGCAGAUGACGUCUGGGCAGGCAGAGGCUGACGGGAAGGAGCAAGGAGGGGGCCGGCCGGGGAGAUGGAGAGAGCGUGCAGUUAGGUGGGGCGUGGGGAGAGGAGCGGUGGAAGACGGGCCAGCAGUGGUGAGCUGGAGCCUCGGGCCCAGGCCAGGCGGCCCUGGGGGGCCACAGGGUUGGUGAGCAAGAGGGCCGUGGGCCCAGGUGGCUUUGCCAAAGGAGGGGAAGCAACUGCGGUUCAGCCAAGACACAGGAGGCAAGGCUGUGCCCGCCACUUGUCCGUCCGUCCCUUGGGCCUCGUGUCCUUGUGGUUGGAGAAGGAGGAAGCUGGGAGGGCGCGGGGGCCACCUGGGCCCUUGUGUGCCCUCCUCCCUUCCUUGGUGGCUGCGGAGGGUUUUUGGAAGAGGACAGGGCCAUGUUGCUUGGAGGUGGGUGGACCCUGGUGGGAAGGGAUGGAGGGGACGGGACAGAGCCUGGGCGAGGCCAGCGUCGGAGGGAAGCCUAGGCCUCUGACCUCCGCCUGCCCUCUGCAGCCCCGGUUCCGCUGUCUGCACAGUCUGCAGGGCCUCCCCGACCCCGGUCCUCGAUCAAGGGCCAUCUCAGCCCCCUGCAGACGUUCUCGGUUGUCACGCCUCUGGGGCCUGGCGGUACAAGUGGAUCUAGUCGGUGGAAGCCAGGGGUGUUGCUCGGUGCCCUGCUGCAUAUGAGACGGGCCCCAAACAACAGAAAACUCCCCACCCACAACACCAGGAGGCUGAGGGGAAAUCACCAGUGAAAUGACAGGAGGUCACCUGAGGGCAGAGGAUGCUGCAGGCAGGGCGGCCGGCGAAGGGGAAGGCGGAAGGAUUACACAGGGGACUUCCGCUGGAGGCCGCAGCGGGGGAAGGCUCCUAUUGACAGAAGCAGCAGACGGAACUGCCGAUGCGCCUGCCAGCCAGAGGAAGCUGGGAAGAGGCAAGCCCGCUGGGCGCCCACGGGCCAGCUCUGGGAUCAUUCUGGAGGAUCACUUCCCUUGACAACGAUGUCAGCAUACAGAGGCCUGGGGCUCCUCGCAGGGCCCCGACUUGAUG
ensembl:lncRNA